GAUGAACGCUGGCGGCGUGCCUAAUACAUGCAAGUCGAGCGAACGGACGAGAAGCUUGCUUCUCUGAUGUUAGCGGCGGACGGGUGAGUAACACGUGGAUAACCUACCUAUAAGACUGGGAUAACUUCGGGAAACCGGAGCUAAUACCGGAUGAUAUUUUGAACCGCUUGGUUCAAAAGUGAAAGACGGUCUUGCUGUCACUUAUAGAUGGAUCCGCGCUGCAUUAGCUAGUUGGUAAGGUAACGGCUUACCAAGGCAACGAUGCAUAGCCGACCUGAGAGGGUGAUCGGCCACACUGGAACUGAGACACGGUCCAGACUCCUACGGGAGGCAGCAGUAGGGAAUCUUCCGCAAUGGGCGAAAGCCUGACGGAGCAACGCCGCGUGAGUGAUGAAGGUCUUCGGAUCGUAAAACUCUGUUAUUAGGGAAGAACAUAUGUGUAAGUAACUGUGCACAUCUUGACGGUACCUAAUCAGAAAGCCACGGCUAACUACGUG
rnacentral:rRNA from 1 species